GAUGAACGCUAGCGGCAGGCCUAAUACAUGCAAGUCGUACGGCAACACAGUUGCGAACAAUCGCAACCGGUGGCGAGUGGCGCACGGGUGAGUAACGCGUAUGUAACCUACCCUUCUCCGGGACAUAACUCCGCGAAAGCGGUGCUAAUAUCCCAUACCAACUCAUCAAGACAUCUUCUUGAGUUGAAGGCAGCAAUGCGGUGAAGGAUGGGCAUGCGUCCCAUUAGCUGGUUGGUGAGGUAAUGGCCCACCAAGGCUACGAUGGGUAGGGGUUCUGAGAGGAAAGCCCCCCACACUGGUACUGAGACACGGACCAGACUCCUACGGGAGGCAGCAGUAAGGAAUAUUGGGCAAUGGUCGAAAGACUGACCCAGCCAUGCCGCGUGCAGGAUGAAGGCCCUAUGGGUUGUAAACUGCUUUUAGCCGGGAAUAAACACCCGUUUUAUAACGGGCCCGAAGGUACCGGCUGAAUAAGCAUCGGCUAACUCCGUGCCAGCAGCCGAC
rnacentral:rRNA from 1 species